rnacentral:rRNA from 1 species
GACGAACGUUGGCGGCGUGCUUAACACAUGCCAGUCGAACGGAAAGGCCCUGCUUUUGUGGGGUGCUCGAGUGGCGAACGGGUGAGUAACACGUGAGUAACCUGCCCUUGACUUUGGGAUAACUUCAGGAAACUGGGGCUAAUACCGGAUAGGAGCUCCUGCUGCAUGGUGGGGGUUGGAAAGUUUCGGCGGUUGGGGAUGGACUCGCGGCUUAUCAGCUUGUUGGUGGGGUAGUGGCUUACCAAGGCUUUGACGGGUAGCCGGCCUGAGAGGGUGACCGGCCACAUUGGGACUGAGAUACGGCCCAGACUCCUACGGGAGGCAGCAGUGGGGAAUAUUGCACAAUGGGCGGAAGCCUGAUGCAGCAACGCCGCGUGCGGGAUGACGGCCUUCGGGUUGUAAACCGCUUUCGCCUGUGACGAAGCGUGAGUGACGGUAAUGGGUAAAGAAGCACCGGCUAACUACGUG